AUACGGAGGGGGUUAGCGUUGUUCGGAAUUACUGGGCGUAAAGCGCACGUAGGCGGACUGGAAAGUUGGGGGUGAAAUCCCGGGGCUCAACCCCGGAACUGCCUCCAAAACUUCCAAUCUAGAGAUCGAGAGAGGUGAGUGGAAUUCCAAGUGUAGAGGUGAAAUUCGUAGAUAUUUGGAGGAGCACCAGUGGCGAAGGCGGCUCACUGGCUCGAUACUGACGCUGAGGUACGAAAGCGUGGGGAGCAAACAGGAUUAGAAACCCUAGUAGUCC
rnacentral:rRNA from 1 species